GUUUACUUUAUAUGCCUAUGAUAUCUGUAAUAUGUUUCUUGUGUACUUAUUAAGAUUUCUCGAAAUCUCACUGUGGUAGUUUCCACUUCUAUUUCUCAUCCGAAAUGGUAAAAGUUGUAACAGGAUUAGAAAAUCUCGAUGGAAAAUUGCAAAAUGAUAGCAACUCAUCCGGAAAGGAUUGUGCCUAAAAUGAUUAUAAGCUCGCCUAAGCCCUCUAUCUUGGAAUGUCUUGAGACAACUGACCAAUGUAUCACAAAGAUACUCGAUGAUAUAAAGGAUUUCAAAUUUUAUUUAAAAACGUAUGAUGAUAGCACAUCAACUCUAAUAGUCGCUUUUGGAUCUACAGUCAUGGAUAUUCUGUAGAUAAUAUAUGUGAUAUUUUUUAUGAUCAAUGAGAAAAUCUUAAAAUAUGGAUAAAAUUAUUUCAUUUCAUAAUUAUAUAUAUAUUAAUCUAUUUUUUAUUAUUACAUAUUUUUACA